rnacentral:rRNA from 1 species
CCGCGUGAGGGAUGACGGCCUUCGGGUUGUAAACCUCUUUCAGCAGGGAAGAAGCGAAAGUGACGGUACCUGCAGAAGAAGCGCCGGCUAACUACGUGCCAGCAGCCGCGGUAAUACGUAGGGCGCGAGCGUUGUCCGGAAUUAUUGGGCGUAAAGAGCUCGUAGGCGGCUUGUCACGUCGGUUGUGAAAGCCCGGGGCUUAACCCCGGGUCUGCAGUCGAUACGGGCAGGCUAGAGUUCGGUAGGGGAGAUCGGAAUUCCUGGUGUAGCGGUGAAAUGCGCAGAUAUCAGGAGGAACACCGGUGGCGAAGGCGGAUCUCUGGGCCGAUACUGACGCUGAGGAGCGAAAGCGUGGGGAGCGAACAGGAUUAGAUACCCUGGUAGUCCACGCCGUAAACGGUGGGCACUAGGUGUGGGCGACAUUCCACGUCGUCCGUGCCGCAGCUAACGCAUUAAGUGCCCCGCCUGGGGAGUACGGCCGCAAGGCUAAAACUCAAAGGAAUUGACGGGGGCCCGCACAAGCGGCGGAGCAUGUGGCUUAAUUCGACGCAACGCGAAGAACCUUACCAAGGCUUGACAUACACCGGAAACGUCCAGAGAUGGGCGCCCCCUUGUGGUCGGUGUACAGGUGGUGCAUGGCUGUCGUCAGCUC